rnacentral:rRNA from 1 species
AUUGAACGCUGGCGGCAGGCCUAACACAUGCAAGUCGAGCGGCAGCGGGAAAGUAGCUUGCUACUUUUGCCGGCGAGCGGCGGACGGGUGAGUAAUGCCAGGGAAAUUGCCCAGUCGAGGGGGAUAACAGUUGGAAACGACUGCUAAUACCGCAUACGCCAUACGGGGGAAAGCAGGGGACCUUCGGGCCUUGCGCGAUUGGAUAUGCCCAGGUGGGAUUAGCUAGUUGGUGAGGUAAUGGCUCACCAAGGCGACGAUCCCUAGCUGGUUUGAGAGUAUGAUCAGCCACACUGGAACUGAGACACGGUCCAGACUCCUACGGGGGGCAGCAGUGGGGAAUAUUGCACAAUGAGGGAAACCCUGAUGCAGCCAUGCCGCGUGUGUGAAGAAGGCCUUCGGGUUGUAAAGCACUUUCAGCGAGGAGGAAAGGUUGAUGCCUAAUACGUAUCAACUGUGACGUUACUCGCAGAAGAAGCACCGGCUAACUCCGUGCCAGCCGCCGCAGUAACAC